UGGUUAUGGGGGGGACAGAUGGCCAGGAGCCCUGGCUAUGAUUCGCAUCUGGCAUCCAUCACACAGAUAAUUA
rnacentral:miRNA from 14 species